rnacentral:rRNA from 1 species
CUCAGGGAGGUAGUGACAAGAAAUAACAACACUGGAAAUUUUAUUUCUAGUGAUUGGAAUGAUGGGAAUUUAAACCCCUUUCAGAGUAACAAUUGGAGGGCAAGUCUGGUGCCAGCAGCCGCGGUAAUUCCAGCUCCAAUAGCGUAUAUUAAAGUUGUUGCAGUUAAAAAGCUCGUAGUUGGAUGUCUGCUGGAAGCAAUCAGUCCGCCCUAUUUGUAGGGUGUGCACUUGAUGAAUUCUGGCAUCUAUGUCCUAAUGUGAUAGAUACGGCGGUGUAUAUGGGUUAAUCCUAUAUACCCGUUUUUGUAUAUUAUAUUGGGAUAAUACCGUUACUUUGAGAAAAUUAGAGUGUUUGAAGCAGGCUAAUUGCCUUGAAUACUGCAGCAUGGAAUAACAAUAUAGGAUUUCGGUUCUAUUUUGUUGGUUUCUAGGACUGAAAUAAUGAUUAAUAGGGACAGUUGGGGGCAUUCGUAUUUAACUGUCAGAGGUGAAAUUCUUAGAUUUGUUAAAGACGAACUACUGCGUAAGCAUUUGCCAAAGAUGUUUUCAUUAAUCAAGAACGAAAGUUAGGGGCUCGAAGACGAUCAGAUACCGUCGUAGUCUUAACCAUAAACUAUGCCGACUAGAGAUAGGAAAAUGUCAUUUUUCUGACUU